rnacentral:rRNA from 1 species
GUGGGGAAUAUUGGACAAUGGGCGAAAGCCUGAUCCAGCCAUGCCGCGUGUGUGAAGAAGGUCUUCGGAUUGUAAAGCACUUUAAGUUGGGAGGAAGGGCAGUAAGUUAAUACCUUGCUGUUUUGACGUUACCGACAGAAUAAGCACCGGCUAACUUCGUGCCAGCAGCCGCGGUAAUACGAAGGGUGCAAGCGUUAAUCGGAAUUACUGGGCGUAAAGCGCGCGUAGGUGGUUUUGUAAGUUGGAGGUGAAAUCCGCGGGCUCAACCUGGGAACUGCCUCCAAAACUGCAUGACUAGAGUACGGUAGAGGGUAGUGGAAUUUCCUGUGUAGCGGUGAAAUGCGUAGAUAUAGGAAGGAACACCAGUGGCGAAGGCGACUACCUGGACUGAUACUGACACUGAGGUGCGAAAGCGUGGGGAGCAAACAGGAUUAGAAACCCGAGUAGUCC